rnacentral:rRNA from 1 species
CCUUGGAACAGGACCUCAUAGAGGGUGAGAAUCCCGUAUGCGACCGGCGAUCAACCCCAUGUGAAGCCCCUUCGACGAGUCGAGUUGUUUGGGAAUGCAGCUCAAAAUGGGUGGUAAAUUUCAUCUAAAGCUAAAUACCGGCCAGAGACCGAUAGCGCACAAGUAGAGUGAUCGAAAGAUGAAAAGCACUUUGGAAAGAGAGUCAAACAGUACGUGAAAUUGUUGAAAGGGAAGCGCUUGCAACCAGACCUGUCCGCGGGCGAUCAACCGUUAUUUUUAGCGGUGCACUCGUCCGUGAUCAGGCCAGCAUCGGUUUGGGCGGCUGGAUAAAGGCCCCGGGAAUGUAGCUCCUCUCGGGGAGUCUUAUAGCCCGAGGUGCAAUGCGACCAGCCCGGACCGAGGACCGCGCUUCGGCUAGGAUGCUGGCAUAAUGGUUGUAAGCGACCCGUCUUGAAACACGGACCAAGGAGUCUAACAUCUAUGCGAGUGUUUGGGCGUCAAACCCAUGCGCGUAAUGAAAGUGAACGGGGGUGGGAACCCGCAAGGGCGCACCAUCGACCGAUCCAGAUGUCUUCGGAUGGAUUUGAGUACGAGCAUAGCUGUUGGGACCCGAAAGAUGGUGAACUAUGCCUGAAUAGGGUGAAGCCAGAGGAAACUCUGGUGGAGGCUCGCAGCGGUUCUGACGUGCAAAUCGAUCGUCAAAUUUGGGUAUA